UACAAGGUGUACAGUGUAUUCUCUCUGUGA
rnacentral:piRNA from 1 species